GGUUUGUGGCUCAGUGAUAGAGCGCUUGCCUAGCAUGUGUGAGGCACUGGGUUCAAUUCUCAGCACUG
rnacentral:tRNA from 1 species